rnacentral:rRNA from 1 species
AAUCAACGCUGGCGGCGUGCCUAACACAUGCAAGUCGAACGCGAAAGCCCUUUCGGGGGUAAGUAGAGUGGCGUCCGGGUGAGUAACACGUAGGUAAUCUACCUUCGGGUGGGGAAUAACUCGCCGAAAGGCGAGCUAAUACCGCAUAAUGCAGCGGCACCUAAUGGUGAUUAGUUGUUAAAGCGGGGAUCGUAAGACCUCGCGCCUGAAGAGGAGCCUGCGGCAGAUUAGCUAGNGGUGAGGUAAUGGCGUCACCAAGGCUUCGAUCUGUAGCUGGUCUGAGAGGACGGCCA